UGGGCCUUGAGGAGGCUGACCCCCAGGGAGGCAGCUUAGGGGCUGCUGGGUCACAGCUGGUGCAGGGAGGUCCUGCUGCUGCAGAGAUGUCCCUUACCCUGGGAGGCUGCUGGAGGGGUCCUGGAAAGGAAGCAGCUGGGGGCUGGCCAGCUGCUCUGGCCAGAGUGUCCUCAUGUGGCUCUGCUGGAAGGUAAGCACGGCUUGGAGCCUCCAGACAUAUUUGAUGUGGUCCAGAGGCUGGGAUUUACAGUCCAGCUGACCUUGAACAUUGGAACAGUUCACAUAAAAAUCGUAUCUCCUUUGACUUAAAAGUCCCCGGGCUCACAAGCUCCAUGGCAACAGUGGGCUAGACCAUAGUGGCCAUUGCCUCUGCUGCAGGGGCUGAGCUCCACACUGCCCCUGCAGGCCGAUCCUGGCACCGCCACCCUGCGGCAGUGCUGCUGUUGGACACCAGACUUGGUCCUUUCCCACUAAUUCCCUAGCUCCCUUGCUGGACCCAGCUGCGGCACUGCCUCUCCUGCCCCACUGUGACUCCUUCUCUGGGCCGCGGCAGUACUCCAUCUUCUCUUGUUUAUCCUGACCUUGACAGUUUUGAAGAACAGUGCUCAGGUAUUUUGUAGAAAGAUCUUCCGUUUGGAUUUCUGCAACGUUUUUCUCAAGGGCUUUGGGGAAGGUCAGUAAGGUGGCCAUCAUCACAUCCAGAGGUUCAGGCUCCACUGCAUGAAUAUCGAAGGGUACCAACAGCAAUACUGCCGAGCCUCUUGGGGACCUUAAUUAGCGUCAUCACUGUGGGCAUCCUGAAUCCCACGCCUGUUCCUCCACAGCCAGAUGUGGCUGGAAAAAAGACCCACACAGAGCUGGGGGUGCGGCUCAGAGGUCGAGCACCUGCUCAGCAUGUGUAAUGCCGUGGGUUCCACUCCCAGCACCAAAAACAUAUUUUUUUAACGUAUAAAUUUCUUUUAAAAAAAUAUUUAUUUUUUAGUUAUAGGUGAGCACAAUGUCUUUAUUUUACUUUAUGAGGUGCUGAGGAUCAAACCCAGUGCCUCAUGUAUGCUAGGCGAGCGCUCGAUCUCUGAGCCACAACUCUAGCCCAAGGAUCAAUUUCUCGAGUAUGAUCAACCAUACAUGUGACACCUGUGUACACCCGCGAAGCCACCUCCACGAGCAAAGCCACAGACAUCUCCCUCCGCAGUCCAGCUCCCUGGGCCGUUUGUCCUUCCCCUCCCCUAAUCCUGGCAAACACUGAUGGAUCACCGAACACUAAACACGCCUCUAACACUGAUCGCUGAAGAUCAGUUUUCGUU
rnacentral:lncRNA from 1 species